GCGCCGCGCUCCCUUACCGAUUCUUCCUCCUUCUCCAUCCCCGUGGGCAUCUGCGGCACGGCCCGGUUGAUGGAGACGCAGUCGUUGAGAAUCACAGAAUAUUUAGGGUUGGAAGGGAAUCUUUGGAGCCCAUCCAGUGCAGCCAGGGUCACACAUCCAGGUGGGUCUGGAAUGACUCUGGAGACUCCACGCUCUCCCUGGGAAUCUGUUCCUGUUCUCUGCUCCACUCAUGGAAAAUUCUUCCCCAUGCUGAGGUGGAAAUCCUCGUGGUUUAGUUUAUUAAACUCCUUCAUCACUCUUUCCAUCAAGAGCAAUAUCCUGCAACUUGGAACUUGGUAUUCCCAAAUUCUCACCUGGACAGAGUCUCCAUCCUCUGCCCAUCCAGAGUUUCCUGCAAGAGCUUCAUCAAAGACUCUUAGUACCUCAAAUAUCUCCUCACUUCCAUUUUAUUUUGACGCCCUGAGACCAAGCAGCUGCUUCUCUCACCUCCACCUUAGAGUUCUCACAGUGUCACCUUCUGAAAUAAACUGAAAUUCUUACUCAAAACUUCACUGUUUGGAUUACUGUGCCAACUGUACCUAAUUUCCAUUUUUUUUUAAUUAGAAAAAAGUAGGUUCAGUCUCUGAAUUGCCUUUUAUUUUUGGAACCUGUUGUGUUUUUUAUUUACGUGGUUUUGUAUAGCAAAUACAACUGCUGUUUGUGACAAACACAUGAUUAACAAAAUGAAGAAUAAAGAAUUGUGUCAGCUAGAGAGAGAGAGAAGGAAGAUGAAACAAGCACAGGAAUACACAGGAGGGGAAAAGAAACAGCAAGAACAUUGUGUUCAUCUGCCACAGACCCAAAUUAGCUUGGGAAAGAGAUCUGGAAAUUAUAUUAACUACUGCUAUGAAAACAUCAGAUUUCAGAAGGCAGAAUGAAGGACAUGCCAUAAAGGGGACUCUGAAAAACUGUCCCAGAAAAAAAAAUCAUUGAGAGAAGCAAGAACUUAUUUUCCUGGAAGUGAAAACGAGCUCUAUUUCUGCUGGGAGUUCAGAAUUGCUUCUCCUUCAAAAAGCCCUCAGAUGAUUAUGGUUUGAUGAGGCAGAAACUUCUGAAGGGGGAUGAGGAAAAUCCUGUUUGGUGCCUGGAAAGUCGCUUCCUCCCAGCACAGCCCCCCAGUCACUGUGGGUCCAAGGGAAGCAGAAACCAGCUGGGCAGAAAUUCUGUGGGUUUGUGACCCAAAGAAUCAAUUCCUCAGGUAUUUAGGGAAUUAUCAGUGAGGGAUUUUGCACUCACCUGCAGCCUGGAUGUGGCUGGAUAAUCCUUUGAUGCCCAUCCCAUCUGUACCUGGUUCACACCCCACAGCUCAGCCCAGGAUCACCACUGGGAUCAGCUCCUGCCUGUGCUUCCCUGGGAUUUCACACAGGAAUUCAUGGGGAUGCUCCUGCUCUUCCCUCCCUGCUUCAUGCAGUGGAAGUGAAAACCCUUCCCACUUCCCAGACCUUUCCCAAAGCAGGAA